rnacentral:rRNA from 1 species
AUUGGACGCUGGCGGCAGGCCUAACACAUGCAAGUCGAGCGGAUGAAGGGAGCUUGCUCCUGGAUUCAGCGGCGGACGGGUGAGUAAUGCCUAGGAAUCUGCCUGGUAGUGGGGGAUAACGUCCGGAAACGGGCGCUAAUACCGCAUACGUCCUGAGGGAGAAAGUGGGGGAUCUUCGGACCUCACGCUAUCAGAUGAGCCUAGGUCGGAUUAGCUAGUUGGUGGGGUAAAGGCCUACCAAGGCGACGAUCCGUAACUGGUCUGAGAGGGUGAUCAGUCACACUGGAACUGAGACACGGUCCAGACUCCUACGGGAGGCAGCAGUGGGGAAUAUUGGACAAUGGGCGAAAGCCUGAUCCAGCCAUGCCGCGUGUGUGAAGAAGGUCUUCGGAUUGUAAAGCACUUUAAGUUGGGAGGAAGGGCAGUAAGUUAAUACCUUGCUGUUUUGACGUUACCAACAGAAUAAGCACCGGCUAACUUCGUG